UUUUUCACCCUGAACACACCCAUUCUCAUCUGAACUUGGAAACUAAACAGGACUGAGCUUGGUUAGUACUUGGAUGGAAGGGUUUAUUUUUGUUCCCAGUUCAUAGGUACUGCCCAUCAUAGUGAUGAAGUCAAGGU
rnacentral:rRNA from 1 species